rnacentral:lncRNA from 1 species
UGCUUUUAAGUCUUUUGUUGCCACCACACACAGCUAGAAAGGCCGCUUCUUGAACUUCUUUAGUCACCCCACGACAAAUGGCAACAUUAUGCCCUUCCUCUCUUGAUAAAUGCCAUUUGAUCCUUGAAAUGGAGGUUUUAUUGGCAAAUGUAUGUGGACAAAACUUACACUUCAUGCUACCAUCUGCCCUAUCUUCAAUAUAAUUCCAAUAUGGAUCCUUUGAUCCAACCAUAUCAACCUAUAGAAAAAAAAAGAGGGUCAAAAUAAAGAAUAAAAAUUGAUGGAAGUUACACCAUAUCCAGAUGGAAGAGAAACUACUUAAGCGCUGUUACCCUUAUUUUGCUAUUAAAAUUGAUAGUUAGUUUAUUGCACAAUCAUAGGAGGGAAAAAGACGACAAUAAUUUAGUUAGACUUCUUACUUGUUCAGUAUUUAAACCUCUAAUUUGACUUUGCAGGGAAGUGUCAAGGCCAGGAUUUGAGGCAUUUGGCGUAGCAGUUUGAUUUUGCAAUCCUCUGACUUGGAGGUCAUCCUUGGAGUUGGAGCUUACUUCGUCGUUUCCUGCUAUUGCAUGUGAAGAAAUCCUCUCUUCCCCUACUCUGGGUUCUACAACCUGAACUUCUCUUUGUACCCUUCCAGUACCUCGUCCCAUAUUUUCAAUCUUAAUGUUUUGUUCUUGUGGACAAGUUGAAAUUCCAGAAUCAGUAACAUUGAUUGAACUUUCUGUGCUUUUAAGUCUUUUGUUGCCACCACACAUAGCUAGAAAGGCCGCUUCUUGAAUUUCUUUAGUCACCCCACGACAAAUGGCAACAUUAUGCCCUUCCUCUCUUGAUAAAUGCCAUUUGAUCCUUGAAAUGGAGGUUUUAUUGGCAAAUGUAUGUGGACAAAACUUACACUUCAUGCUACCAUCAGCCAUAUCUUCAAUAUAAUUCCAAAAUGGAUCCUUUGAUCCAACCAUUUCAAC